UCUCCGUAGGUGAACCUGCGGAGGGAUCAUUACAGAGUUCAUGCCCUACCGGGUAGAUCUCCCACCCUAUGUUAUUAUUACUUUGUUGCUUUGGCGGGCCGUUAGGCUCCGGCCCGACUACCGGCCCCGGCUGGUAAGCGCCCGCCAGAGACCUAACUAAAACCUGUUUAUGUGUCGUCUGAGUACUAUAUAAUAGUUAAAACUUUCAACAACGGAUCUCUUGGUUCAG
rnacentral:misc_RNA from 1 species